rfam:Frischella perrara strain PEB0191, complete genome.
CCAAUUGCUGGGUCGCCUGUGAUUGG